rnacentral:rRNA from 1 species
UACGUAGGGUGCGAGCGUUGUCCGGAAUUAUUGGGCGUAAAGAGCUCGUAGGCGGCUUGUCGUGUCGGAUGUGAAAGCCCGGGGCUUAACUCCGGGUCUGCAUUCGAUACGGGCAGGCUAGAGUUCGGUAGGGGAGAUCGGAAUUCCUGGUGUAGCGGUGAAAUGCGCAGAUAUCAGGAGGAACACCGGUGGCGAAGGCGGAUCUCUGGGCAACUACUGACGCUGAGGAGCGAAAGCGUGGGGAGCGAACAGG